GCUCAGAACCCCAGCUACAUUUUGCAGGAUUGAAAUUUACCAUCCCUAAAGCAGAAACAAAAAUAAAUAGUUGAAUUUGCUCCAUUUUUUUUUUUCAAUUGGGGGAGAGUGGUGUAGAGAAGAGCCGGUAGGAUUUCAGGAGACAAGGGUGUCUGGACCACUAUGAGAUAAGCUUGAAUAACUGGUCAGAGCUCAUCCGUACACAAGAGACAAGAGUUCAUGGUCAGAAAGAGCAGCAUUUUCCCCCUUUAUCAUUAAGUGGGGGGAGUAACAAUAACGUGCUGGACCUAGAAACUCUUUUCAGAGGAAGAGAGAAUUUCCUGGAUUAUUUGGAAGAAGAAGUAAGGACAGCUUUGAUAUGAGGUCAUUAAAACAUCCCAGAUAAAAUGCAAAUGAGAUUCUGAGUAUGGCUGUAGAUGUACAAUUUUUUGUUUCAUGUUUUUACUUUUCUGAAUCAGAAAUGUCUUAAAAUGCACAUGAUGUUUCUUUUUUUCUUCUUCCAAAAACCUAUUUUUAAUAUCUGUGUUAACUCUUUCAAUCAAAGAUGCUUUCACAUAGGGAAGCAUUGUGAUGAAGAAAUUAUAAAAAAAAAAAAAGAAGAAGAAGAAGAAGAGAGGCUGAGGUUGACAAUUUAAUUACUAAAACAAACUUUCAGUCAAAAUGCUUCUGAAUAUUCUUUUGGCAGGUGCUUAUUGCUGCAAAUUGAAAGGAAGAUGGAGUAAGCAGAUUGCCAUUUAAAACUUAAUUAAAUUAAGACUUAAACAUCAGUCCAAUCUUUUAGAAUUCUCAGUAAACAAGGGACAAAACUUGGCCAUGACCAAUAACAGGAGAAAAAACAUUGAGAAGUUUAGCAUUUUUUCAGUGUAUCACUUCCAGCCCAAAGGACAAACGAGGAAAGAGAGAUAAAGAAUGGUUCCCUCAAGAUUCUCGAGUGGCAGCUUUGAAAUUGCAUCAGUCACAUUUAUGCCAGCACCUUUCGGGGCUAUAAGAGCCACACAACAUAAUGCCUCAGUUUUCAUGAAUUUCCAUGUUUGCUUAACCUUGUGUAGAUUAGAAAUGCAGAGAAAUCUCGUUAAAGGAACUCAAUGCAUAUGGACUUGCUGGAACGGGAAUGUUUGUUCCGAGACUUUGCUUUGAAAUCUCCUGGGAAUUGUGAUGUCAUUAUUCUAGUCUCUUUACUUAAUCAUUAAAUUCUGGGAAAUUAGCAGGUUUUAUGGUUGCCUUAUAGAAAAUCUUUUUUUUUCUUUUUCUUUUUUCUUUUGAGUCCAUUCAUUAUGAGCUCUCUGGCAUAGACCUAAAGUAGACUUAGAAGUUUCAGUAUCAGUCUCUACUCCCCAGUGUUUUUUAUUUUUAUUUUUGUUUUUUGCUUUUUGUUUUUUAGGGCCAUACUCGCGGCAUAUGGAAGUUCCCAGGCUAGGGUCCAAUUGGAGCUACAGCUGCCAGCCUGCACCGCAGUCACAGUAACUCGAGAUCUGAGCCUCAUCUGAGACCGACACCACAGCUCAUGGCAACGCUGGAUCCUUAACCCACUGAGCAAGUCCAGGGAUCAAACCCACAGCCUCGUGGAUACUAGUCGGAUUUGUUUCCACCGCGUCACAACGGCAACAUCUACUCCCCAGUGUUUAAAAGAUUCGUAUGCAGAAUAUAUUCAACAUCAUUAGAAACACUGCCUUAAGCGAGGCACCCGGGUUAGAGAGGUAACGCAUAGGCUCUCCCUGUCAAGGAGUUUACAUUCUGGUAUUAGAAACAGUUGGUGAAUGAGUAACAGUCUCGCAACAUACUGCAUGCUGUGAUCCCAACAGAGCUCAAAGCUGUCCGGGAGGGUAAAAAUGCAGGAAGUACCUGACCCUAUCUAGGAAUGGUUAUAGAAGCUUCUUAAAUGAGAUGACACAAAUAGAGUUCUAGAGGAAAGUUUGUUUUUCAGUCUCUAUUCAAUUCUAAGCUUGUGUUUCGGUUUUCUUGCACUGGCAAAUAUUCUAAGUCAGAAGUUUUCAAAGCGGGUGAGAGCAUUACUCCAAAAGCAUUUUUAAUAGCAAUACUCACCUGCAGGCAUGGGUCUGCUCAUAAUAGGACAUGGAGACAUCUUGAGAAACUUUGAAAUCCAAGUUCAUGUUAAGUUAUAUUUAAUCGACAUGAAUCGGAAGCGAAUGUGCAAAAGUCCUGCGUGAGGAUGUCAGUGUGCGUUUAAAGACACCAAAGCAAAGACCUUGAACCCAGAGUGCUCGUCAUUUGAGCAAGAGAAAGGUAUACACACAAGAAUGCAUUCUAUAUCCAAAAAAAGGCUCCAAAGGCAGUUAUGUGCAAGGGUAAAAGCACUACGGCUGGUGAUGGUAAGAGCAAAAAUUCUAUCAAGGAAGACCUUGAGACUUUCUUAGGAGUGAGUAUUUCAAUUCACUGGUAGUUUUUUGUUUUUGUUUUUACAGCCUUAGCUACAGCAUAUGGAAGUUCCUGGGGUCAGGAGGUCAAAUCAGAUCUGCAGCUGCAGGCCUACACCACAGCCACAUCUGUGACCCCCCCUGCAGCUUGCAGCAACACCAGUUCCUUAACCUACUGAGCAAGACCAGGGAUCGGACCUGCAUCCUACAUCACGUUCUUAACCUGCUGAGCCACAAGGGGAACUCCUCACUAGUAGUUUGAAUUGUUCUCUCAACUGAAGUGACAAGAUUGUCCCAUGAUGGAUUAUACUGAUCAGCAUGUGUCCAGGAUCAACUGUGAAAAGAUCGUAUAUUUAUCAGUUGAGCUUCGCAGCCCUGUGUACAUUCGCAGCCCUGUGUACAUUCCACGAGAAAUGUGAUAAUGUGAUGCCCCCAGGUAGGCCUCCACUAUGACCUUGAUGUCAAUGUCACAUGGAGUCUCUUUACACUAUGAUGUCCAACCACACCAGGGGGUCCCAACCAGUGGGGGAGAGAAGAAAGAUAUAGCCAGGUCUCCAUGAUUUGGAUGUAAUUUAAAUUAUUUGAUCUACUCCGAAACUUCCGCUCAUCUAAAGUGCAUCGGUCAGUAGAUACAGAGCUUUUCAAGCAGGCAUCCGUGAAGAAAAGCAAAAAGAAGAUUGAGAAUGACUAAAACCAACUGAGUAAGGUUUGAGGCAUGUCCAAGAUUUAGGCUCCUGUCCAACCCUUCUCAUUGGCAUUGACAGGAAAUGCAGAAACUCCAGGGCUCGGAGGAGCAGACUUACUAGGUCAAGGGCUGGAAUCCUUGUGAUGCCAUGGGAACUUCAACCUUCGAGGUAUCCCCAGCUGUAAAAUGGAACGGACUGACCGGUCACUGCUCAUGGGGUAAAAUCAAAACGACUGAGUAGAGUGAUGUUUCAGAGCAGCAAAGAGACAGUGCCAUAUGAAUGCUAAAUAACCACGUUAAAUUUCCAGACACUGCAGCGAGUGGCACUAGAUAAAUGCUGAGUAGAUUAGGGCCUAUUUGAUUUGCAUUUAACUUCAAGAAAAUAGUUUUUAGAAGUCAUUUUGUUUUUAUACACUAUAGCUUCUAAAGAGCCAUAAAUCUUGUUUGUGUCUCUGAGACUCCAUGAAACUCUUGAUUGAAAUGAAAUGUAUCGUCUAGUUUCCGUGUUGAUUUUUUGCCUGAGCAGAGAGUGAGUAGAUUCUGGGGCCUGCAAAAGCAGGAGACAGAGGCGCACUUUUUCUAAUGCAAGAUUUCACUGCCUGUCUUGCCACAAGAAAUGAAACUGCUUUCUGAUAAAACCUUAGGAGGGUAGCUUUCUAGUGUUUGGAAUGAAAAGGCACAAUUGUCAAAGGUGUGAAUUAAAUUUAAUUACUAUUACCAACUAUUUUGCCCAUGUGGAGACCUCGAACAUGCAUUUGAGUGCAAGACCCUCCAUUGUGUAUAAUCUCUGGCCUGAAAUGAGUUUAUGGAUUUCCUUUGUGUCCAUGUUUGAAGUAAGUACUUAACUUAGUUGCCACAUAAAAACAGUUGCCCUGGAGCACCGCCUGGAACCACACUGGGAAAGAGAAGAAAGCUUUUGUUAUUGUCAGCCCUUGUCCUGGGGGAGCUGUUUGUUUCUAUUACGUAACUUUGCCUAUAUUGACUGAAUCAUCACCGUAAAAGGAUUCUUUUCUUCUCCUUGGAAGAUGAAGACGGCAGAUUUUAAUGAUCGUCUGAGUAAGGCAUGCAGUGUUCUUCUUGUCUCUCUCA
rnacentral:lncRNA from 1 species